UACGGAGGGUGCAAGCGUUAUCCGGAAUCACUGGGCGUAAAGGGCGCGUAGGUGGUCUGUUAAGUCUGGCGUUAAAGCCUGGGGCUCAACCCCAGAUCAGCGUUGGAUACUGGCAGGCUAGACGGUUGGAGAGGCGAGUGGAAUUACCAGUGUAGCGGUGGAAUGCGUAGAUAUCAGGAGGAACACCGGCGGCGAAGGCGGCUUGCUGGACGGCAACUGACGUUGAGGCUCGAAAGCGUGGGGAGCAAACAGGAUUAGAUACCCCGGUAGU
rnacentral:rRNA from 1 species